GACGAACGCUGGCGGCGUGCUUAACACAUGCAAGUCGAACGAAGUGGCGCACGGGUGAGUAACGCGUAAUCAACCUGCCCUUCAGAGGGGGCCACCAGUUGGACACGACUGCUAAUACCGCAUACUGAAGGCGGGGCUUGCGUCUGCUUAGCUCGUUGGAGGGGUAACGGCCCACCAAGGCGAGGAUCAGUAGACGGUCUGAGAGGAUGAACGGCCACAUUGGGACUGAGACACGGCCCAGACUCCUACGGGAGGCAGCAGUGGGGAAUCGUCCGAAAUGGACGAAAGUCUGACGGAGCAAAGCCGCGUGAGUGAGGACGGCCUUCGGGUUGUAAAGCUCUGUUAAUCGGGACGCGGUACCGGAAGAGAAAGCCACGGCUAACUACGUGCCAGCAGCCGCGGUAAUUC
rnacentral:rRNA from 1 species